rnacentral:rRNA from 1 species
CCUACGGGCGUCAGCAGUGGGGAAUAUUGGACAAUGGGCGAAAGCCUGAUCCAGCCAUGCCGCGUGUGUGAAGAAGGCCUUCGGGUUGUAAAGCACUUUCAGUGGGGAAGAAAGCCUUGGGGCUAAUACCCUCGAGGAAGGACAUCACCCACAGAAGAAGCACCGGCUAACUCCGUGCCAGCAGCCGCGGUAAUACGGAGGGUGCGAGCGUUAAUCGGAAUUACUGGGCGUAAAGCGCGCGUAGGCGGUCUGAUAAGCCGGUUGUGAAAGCCCCGGGCUCAACCUGGGAACGGCAUCCGGAACUGUCAGGCUAGAGUGCAGGAGAGGAAGGUAGAAUUCCCGGUGUAGCGGUGAAAUGCGUAGAGAUCGGGAGGAAUACCAGUGGCGAAGGCGGCCUUCUGGACUGACACUGACGCUGAGGUGCGAAAGCGUGGGUAGCAAACAGGAUUAGAUACCCCUGUAGUC